GGGGGAAAAAAGAACCAAGUCAGGAACAAAGUUUGUUUAGUGGAAAGGAAACUGGCCAUGCAAAUCUCACAGGGCUCAUGAGCUGACACCUCAUAUCCGUGUCUCAACCACCCUUUUAUGAGCAGGUUCCUGGGACUGAGUUUAACAGCUUAUGUCACACCCCAAGGCCAACAUGCCAUCGCAACCAGGGCUUCCGCAAGUCACACACUCACACCCAUUGCUCCAGCAGUCACACAAGGAAGGUAGAAGGAUGGGAUGUCACAAAUGCCCUUGGCACCGAGAAUUGCCAUGUGCUUGUCCCCUUUGGUGGUUCAAGGCGCAAGAGAGUUCCUUUCCUGGUAAGAAACAGUUUCUGGGUAAACAACGGGAUCUGGGGAAGAGGUGACUCACUUGUUCAUCGAAGCUGCUCUUUGGAAAGGCUAGUGAGGCUGAGGCAGGGUAAAGGCUGCAAAACUGGGCUGCUCUGGAAGAGAAGUUGGACAAGGGUGUUUGGGUUGCAACUGUCCUUGUAUCAUCAGCCAAGGAAGAAAUCAUCCAGAAAUAGCAGGCAGACAGGAAUGAGGGAGGAGUGGGAAGGAUCAAAAACAUCAUUGUAAGCAUUGAGUCAUCAGCUGCACGGACCCAGCAAAAGUUAGUGAUUUGAGUAUAUUUACACAGAUAUACUCAUUUGCCUCAAGCAGCAUGGUUCCUUUUAUGCCCUGCAAUGGAAACUCAAGCUGGUUAUAUACUUCUUCCAGAAUUUGAUCGGGAUCUGUGGCAGAUCAGCAUUUGUAGAGCUGACUUUACAGUACUUGCCAAAAAGUGCUGUUCAGUGCUGAUCACAGCAUAACCCCUUCUGGGUCAGAUUGAAGACGUAGGGCCCUUCCAGACAGGUCCUAUAUCCCAGGAUCUGAUCCAAGGUUUUCUGCAUUAAACCAGAUUAUAUGAGUCCCCACUGCCAGAUAAUCUGGGAUUUAAAAAAACUGGGAUCAGAUCCUGGAAUAUAGGGUCUGUCUGGAAGGGCCUAUAGACCCCUUCUACUUAUAAAGUCCACAUUAUCUGCACUGAUCUGGAUUAUAUUGCAGUGUA
rnacentral:lncRNA from 11 species